rnacentral:ncRNA from 1 species
UAUUAUAAUUGGCAAACCUGCCGAGAGACAGGGACGCAAAGCUAAGAGUCUUGCUUGUUAAAUUAUAGCAUGAUUGUCUGGUUGCAUCA